rnacentral:rRNA from 1 species
CGAGUGAACCGGGAAGAGCUCAAAUUUGAAAUCUGGCGUCCUCAGGGCGUCCGAGUUGUAAUCUAUAGAAGCGUUUUCCGCGCCGGACCGUGUAUAAGUCUCCUGGAACGGAGUAUCAAAGAGGGUGACAAUCCCGUGCUUUACACGACGACCGGUGCUCUGUGAUACGUUCUCUACGAGUCGAGUUGUUUGGGAAUGCAGCUCAAAACGGGUGGUAAACUCCAUCUAAAGCUAAAUAUUGGUGGGAGACCGAUAGCGAACAAGUACCGUGAGGGAAAGAUGAAAAGCACUUUGGAAAGAGAGUUAAACAGUAUGUGAAAUUGUUGAAAGGGAAACGAUUGAAGUCAGUCGUGUCCAUUGGGUUCAGCCGGUCCUGCCGGUCUACUCCCUUUGGACGGGUCAACAUCAGUUCUGACCGGUGGAUAAUGGCACGAGGAACGUGGCACCCCCAGGGGUGUGUUAUAGCCUCGCGUCGCAUACACUGGUCGGGACUGAGGAACGCAGCUCGCCUUCAUGGCCGGGGUACGCCCACGUACGAGCUUAGG